AUUGAACGCUGGCGGCAGGCUUAACACAUGCAAGUCGAGCGGAGAUGAGGUGCUUGCACCUUAUCUUAGCGGCGGACGGGUGAGUAAUGCUUAGGAAUCUGCCUAUUAGUGGGGGACAACAUUCCGAAAGGAAUGCUAAUACCGCAUACGUCCUACGGGAGAAAGCAGGGGAUCUUCGGACCUUGCGCUAAUAGAUGAGCCUAAGUCGGAUUAGCUAGUUGGUGGGGUAAAGGCCUACCAAGGCGACGAUCUGUAGCGGGUCUGAGAGGAUGAUCCGCCACACUGGGACUGAGACACGGCCCAGACUCCUACGGGAGGCAGCAGUGGGGAAUAUUGGACAAUGGGGGGAACCCUGAUCCAGCCAUGCCGCAUGAGUGAAGAAGGCCUUAUGGUUGUAAAGCACUUUAAGCGAGGAGGAGGCUACUGAGACUAAUACUCUUGGAUAGUGGACGUUACUCGCAGAAUAAGCACCGGCUAACUCUGUGCCAGCCGCCGCCGUAAGAC
rnacentral:rRNA from 1 species